GACGAACGCUGGCGGCGUGCUUAACACAUGCAAGUCGAACGAAGUGGCGAACGGGUGAGUAACGCGUAAUCAACCUGCCCUUCAGAGGGGGAUCACAGUUGGAAACGACUGCUAAUCCCGCAUACUGAAGGAGGGGAUUGCGUCUGAUUAGCUAGUUGGAGGGGUAACGGCCCACCAAGGCGAGGAUCAGUAGCCGGUCUGGGAGGAUGAACGGCCACAUUUGGACUGAGAAACGGCCCAGACGUCUACGGGAGGCAGCCGGGGGGAAUCUUCCGGAAUUGACGAAAGUCUGACGGAGCAACGCCGGGGGAGUGAUGACGGCCUUCGGGUUGUAAAGCUCUGUUAAUCGGGACGCGGUACCGGAAUAGAAAGCCACGGCUAACUACGUGCCAGCAGCCGCGGUAAUUC
rnacentral:rRNA from 1 species